rnacentral:tRNA from 3 species
CGGGGCGUGGCGCAGUCUGGUAGCGCGCUUCGUUCGGGACGAAGAGGUCGCUGGUUCGAAUCCAGUCGCCCCGACCA